AUGUCAGAUGACUAUAAUCGAACACGCACGUCGCCCAAGGAGGUGGAGCAGUUGGUGUUGCUUGACAUUAGGGCUAUGUUGUAGUCCAUGGGUAAAGACAUUGUUGAUUUCUCUCUUCCAAUCAUCGAUGAUGCGUUUGACACAACCGAUGGUGAGUUUAGAGAGGUCAUUGAGGAAUCAACCGUUGAGUUUGACUUGGAUGACACUAAAUUGGCAUCUUCCCUGAACUUGGAGCAGAGGGCCGCAUACGAUGAGAUACUGGCGGUUGUUGAACACGGUGAUGGGGGUGUAUUCUUUGUUGAUGGCCCUGGAGGUACAAGGAAGACCUUCUUAUACAGGGCGUUGCUUGCCAAGGUGAGGAGCGAGGGCAAAAUUGAUAUCGCUACCGCGACGUCAGGCGUCGCUGCUUCUAUAAUGCCUAGCGGCAAGACUGCCCACUCGAGGUUCAAGAUACCACUG
rnacentral:rRNA from 1 species